CAGCUACCUGCAUGUCCUCCCUCAGCACAUCCAUAAACCUCCUUUUUGGCCUCCCUCUUCUCCUCCUGCCUGGUGGCUCCAUCCUCAGCAUCCUUCUCCCUAUAUACCCUGGGUUCCUCCUCUUCACAUGUCCAAACAUCUCAAUCUUGCAUCUCU